rnacentral:rRNA from 1 species
GCCUGCCCGGUGCCUGAAGGUUAAAAGGAGGGGUGCAAGCUCCGAAUUGAAGCCCAGGUAAACGGCGGCCGUAACGAUAACGGUCCUAAGGUAGCGAAAUUCCUUGUCGGGUAAGUUCCGACCUGCACGAAUGGCGUAACGACUUCCCCACUGUCUCCAGCAUCGACUCAGCGAAAUUGAAGUCCCCGUGAAGAUGCGGGGUACCCGCGGUCAGACGG